rnacentral:rRNA from 1 species
UGCAAGUCGAGCGAACAGAUGAGAAGCUUGCUUCUCUGAUGUUAGCGGCGGACGGGUGAGUAACACGUGGGUAACCUACCUAUAAGACUGGGAUAACUCCGGGAAACCGGGGCUAAUACCUGAUAAUAUUUUGAACCGCAUGGUUCGAUAGUGAAAGGCGGCUUCGGCUGUCACUUAUAGAUGGACCCGCGCCGUAUUAGCUAGUUGGUAAGGUAAUGGCUUACCAAGGCGACGAUACGUAGCCGACCUGAGAGGGUGAUCGGCCACACUGGAACUGAGACACGGUCCAGACUCCUACGGGAGGCAGCAGUAGGGAAUCUUCCGCAAUGGGCGAAAGCCUGACGGAGCAACGCCGCGUGAGUGAUGAAGGUUUUCGGAUCGUAAAACUCUGUUGUUAGGGAAGAACAAAUUUGUUAGUAACUGAACAAGUCUUGACGGUACCUAACCAGAAAGCCACGGCUAACUACGUGCCAGCAGCCGCGGUAAUACGUAGGUGGCAAGCGUUAUCCGGAAUUAUUGGGCGUAAAGCGCGCGUAGGCGGUUUCUUAAGUCUGAUGUGAAAGCCCACGGCUCAACCGUGGAGGGUCAUUGGAAACUGGGGAACUUGAGUGCAGAAGAGGAGAGUGGAAUUCCAUGUGUAGCGGUGAAAUGCGCAGAGAUAUGGAGGAACACCAGUGGCGAAGGCGGCUCUCUGGUCUGUAACUGACGCUGAUGUGCGAAAGCGUGGGGAUCAAACAGGAUUAGAUACCCUGGUAGUCCACGCCGUAAACGAUGAGUGCUAAGUGUUAGGGGGUUUCCGCCCCUUAGUGCUGCAGCUAACGCAUUAAGCACUCCGCCUGGGGAGUACGACCGCAAGGUUGAAACUCAAAGGAAUUGACGGGGACCCGCACAAGCGGUGGAGCAUGUGGUUUAAUUCGAAGCAACGCGAAGAACCUUACCAAAUCUUGACAUCCUUUGAUCGCUCUAGAGAUAGAGUCUUCCCCUUCGGGGGACAAAGUGACAGGUGGUGCAUGGUUGUCGUCAGCUCGUGUCGUGAGAUGUUGGGUUAAGUCCCGCAACGAGCGCAACCCUUAAGCUUAGUUGCCAUCAUUAAGUUGGGCACUCUAGGUUGACUGCCGGUGACAAACCGGAGGAAGGUGGGGAUGACGUCAAAUCAUCAUGCCCCUUAUGAUUUGGGCUACACACGUGCUACAAUGGAUAAUACAAAGGGCAGCGAACCCGCGAGGUCAAGCAAAUCCCAUAAAAUUAUUCUCAGUUCGGAUUGUAGUCUGCAACUCGACUACA